CUCGUUGCCUGACACUGGUAUUUUUUGUCUUUAGCACGUCGGUGGAGGCUGUGAAGACUCUUUUUUCCAUGCCCGGAUACUGGAAGGAAUUUGCCAGCAUCCAAUUUCAGCAGGGUUGGGACAUGAUAGCCUCACGAUAUUACUACUCGCAGGGUGUUGGCGUGAUUGCAAGAGCCAUGAUCGAGUUUGAGAACCCUCAGCUCCCUGCCGUCUUCAGAGGCCGUCACCACUGUUCAAAGGGAGAAGGAGGAGGAGCAGAGAAAUAUCGCCAUAACUUUCUGCACUGAGUUUCUCCAGAGUCCU